rnacentral:misc_RNA from 1 species
ACAGCAAAUCCAGAUGUUGCCAUCUUGAGUGUCUCAAUGGUGUAUUCAAUGAAUGAGGGUGAAUCAUCAACUUCGUUCCUCUCCUCAUUUUCCUCAUUUUGGCCCUCAGGAACUGAUCCAUCAAUCUCAGAAGUCCAACAACAGGCAGAGAGCUUUGAACACUCACAGCCCAUCACGACACCAAAAUUUGGAAUUAAACACUAAUUAGUCCCAAAGCCUAAAAAAUUAUAAAAUCUUAUCCAGCUCAAUCACUUCAUCCAGAU